GACGAACGCUGGCGGCGUGCUUAACACAUGCAAGUCGAACGGAAAGGCCCUGCCUUUGUGGGGUGCUCGAGUGGCGAACGGGUGAGUAACACGUGAGUAACCUGCCCUUGACUUUGGGAUAACUUCAGGCAACUGGGGCUCAUACCGGAUAGGAGCUCCUGCUGCAUGGUGGGGGUUGGAAAGUUUCGGCGGUUGGGGAUGGACUCGCGGCUUAUCAGCUUGUUGGUGGGGUAGUGGCUUACCAAGGCUUUGACGGGUAGCCGGCCUGGGAGGGUGACCGGCCACAGUGCAACGGGGAUACGGCCCAGACUCCUACGGGAGGCAGCGGUGGGGAGGAUAACACAAUGGGCGGGAGCCUGAUGUAGCAACGCCGCGUGGGGGAUGACGGCCUUCGGGUUGUAAACCGCUGUCGCCUGAGACGAAGCGUUAAUGACGGUAACGGGUGAAGAAGCACCGGCUAACUACGUG
rnacentral:rRNA from 1 species